rnacentral:rRNA from 1 species
UUAACGGCCGCGGUACCCUAACCGUGCAAGGUAGCGUAAUCAUUUGUCUAUUAAUUGUAGACCAGUAUGAAGGCAAAAUGAGGGUUUAUCUGUCUCUUACAGUAAAUCAAUUAAACUGAUCUCCUAGUAAAAAAGCUAGAAUCUACACAUAAGACCAGAAGACCCUGUGAAGCUUAAACUAAACUAUUAAACCGUAUAAUACCUACUUUCGGUUGGGGCGACCUUGGAAAAAAAAAGAACUUCCAAACACUUCUAUACAGGCCCACAAGCCUUACAACAGACCCAGUACAACUGAUAAUUGAACCAAGUUACUCCAGGGAUAACAGCGCUAUCUUCUUCAAGAGCCCAUAUCAAAAAGAAGGCUUACGACCUCGAUGUUGGAUCAGGACAUCCUAAUGGUGCAACCGCUAUUAAGGGUUCGUUUGUUCAACGAUUAAUAGUCCUACGUGAUCUGAG